GAUCAUGGCUCAGAGUGAACGCUGGCGGCGUGCUUAACACAUGCAAGUCGAACGAGAACGGAUUAUAGCUUGCUAUAAUUGUCAGCUAAGUGGCGCACGGGUGAGUAAUGUAUAGGUAAUAUGCCUCUUACUAAGGGAUAACAAAUGGAAACGUUUGCUAAUACCUUAUACUCCUUAUUAACAGAAGUUAAUAAGGGAAAGAUUUAUUGGUAAGAGAUUAGCCUGUAUUGUAUCAGUUAGUUGGUGGGGUAAUGGCUUACCAAGACUAUGACACAUAACUGGUUUGAGAGGAUGAUCAGUCACACUGGAACUGAGACACGGUCCAGACUCCUACGGGAGGCAGCAGUGGGGAAUAUUGCACAAUGGACGAAAGCCUGAUGCAGCAACGCCGCGUGGAGGAUGACACAUUUCGGUGCGUAAACUCCUUUUAUAUGAGAAGAUAAUGACGGUAUUAUAUGAAUAAGCACCGGCUAACUCCGUG
rnacentral:rRNA from 1 species